GAUGAACGCUAGCUACAGGCUUAACACAUGCAAGUCGAGGGGCAGCAUGAACUUAGCUUGCUAAGUUUGAUGGCGACCGGCGCACGGGUGAGUAACACGUAUCCAACCUGCCGAUGACUCGGGGAUAGCCUUUCGAAAGAAAGAUUAAUACCCGAUGGCAUAGUUCUUCCGCAUGGUAGAACUAUUAAAGAAUUUCGGUCAUCGAUGGGGAUGCGUUCCAUUAGGUUGUUGGCGGGGUAACGGCCCACCAAGCCUUCGAUGGAUAGGGGUUCUGAGAGGAAGGUCCCCCACAUUGGAACUGAGACACGGUCCAAACUCCUACGGGAGGCAGCAGUGAGGAAUAUUGGUCAAUGGACGAGAGUCUGAACCAGCCAAGUAGCGUGAAGGAUGACUGCCCUAUGGGUUGUAAACUUCUUUUAUACGGGAAUAAAGUGAGGCACGUGUGCCUUUUUGUAUGUACCGUAUGAAUAAGAAUCGGCUAACUCCGUG
rnacentral:rRNA from 1 species